GAGUUUGAUCGUGGCUCAGGACGAACGCUGGCGGCGUGCUUAACACAUGCAAGUCGAGCGGUAAGGCCCCUUCGGGGUACGACGAGCGGCGAACGGGUGAGUAACACGUGGGUGAUCUGCCCUGCACUUCGGGAUAAGCCUGGGAAACUGGGUCUAAUACCGGAUAUGACCAAAGGCUGCAUGGCUUUUGGUGGAAAGGUUUACUGGUGCAGGAUGGGCCCGCGGCCUAUCAGCUUGUUGGUGGGGUAAUGGCCUACCAAGGCGACGACGGGUAGCCGACCUGAGAGGGUGACCGGCCACACUGGGACUGAGACACGGCCCAGACUCCUACGGGAGGCAGCAGUGGGGGAAUAUUGCACAAUGGGCGAAAGCCUGAUGCAGCGACGCCGCGUGAGGGAUGACGGCC
rnacentral:rRNA from 1 species